rnacentral:misc_RNA from 1 species
AUUUCUCAACCUCGCGAUUUGAUUAUCGUUCGAGGCUUGGAUCAUGGAGGGACCAUGCCGAUCGACUGAUUACCAUCGUCGGCUCCUCUGAAACGCAUUAGUGGACCUGGUCGCUCACGUUUUCUUGCUGGCUUUGGUUUGAUAACGCUCAUGCCAUCGCUGUCUGCGAGCAAAAGUCGAGAGCUUUCAGGAUCGCUUACAACCAUGUAUAUACAUUUGCCG